GACGUAGGAUGCGAGCGUUGUUCGGAAUUAUUGGGCGUAAAGCGUGCGUAGGCGGCUAUUUAAGUCUGGUGUUAAAGCUAGGGGCUCAACCCCUGUGUUGCACUGGAAACUGGAUAGCUUGAGUACGGUAGGGGAAGGUGGAAUUCCGAGUGUAGCGGUGAAAUGCGUAGAUAUUCGGAAGAACACCGGUGGCGAAGGCGACCUUCUGGGCCGUCACUGACGCUGAGGCACGAAAGCGUGGGGAGCAAACGGG
rnacentral:rRNA from 1 species